GCGUUGUUUUUUUUUAGCUUCAAAGGGAGAGGGUCGUUCUUAACCGACCAGAGGAUCCUAUAAAUAUGACAUCCUCACGGCUUUUUUGUUCAUCAGAGAUUGAGUAUGGAGCUCUCUCUCGUAGGUAAUGGUAGUUUCUUUGAUUUCUCUGUUUGUUUGUUUUGAUUCUUAAACCAAUUCGUUUCGUGGGAAAUUAUAGCUAUCUGUCAUCAAGAUUGAGUGUGGAUGGUUUCUUGGAUUUCUUUUGUUGUUUUCGUUCAUAAACAAAUUCGUGCGCGGAAAAUUAUAUUUAUCUGUCAUCAAGAUUGAGUAUGGGGCGUCCUUUUCUGUUUUCAUUCUUAAACAAAUUGGUGUGCGGGGAAAUUAUAGCUAUCUGUUAUCAAGAUUGAGUAUGGGGCGUCUUUUUCUGUUUUCAUUCUUAAACAUAUUGGUGUGCGGGGAAAUUAUAGCUAUCUGUCAUCAAGAUUGAGUGUGGAUGGUUUCUUGGAUUUCUUUUGUUGUUUUCGUUCAUGAACAAAUUCGUGCGCGGCAAAUUAUAUUUAUCUGUUUCUGUUUUCAUUCUUAAACAAAUUGGUGUGCGGGGAAAUUAUAGCUAUCUGUCAUCAAGAUCGAGUAUGGGGCGUCUUUUUCUGUUUUCAUUCUUAAACAUAUUGGUGUGCGGGGAAAUUAUAGCUAUCUGUCAUCAAGAUUGAGUAUGGGGCGUCUUUUUCUGUUUUCAUUCUUAAACAUAUUGGUGUGCGGGGAAAUUAUAGCUAUCUGUCAUCAAGAUUGAGUAUGGGGCGUCUUUUGCUGUUUUCAUUCUUAAACAUAUUGGUUUGCGGGGAAAUUAGAGCUAUCUGUCAUCAAGAUGGGCGUCUUUUGCUGUUUUCAUUCUUAAACAAAUUGGUGUGCGGGGAAAUUAUAGCUAUCUGUCAUCAAGAUUGAGUAUGGGGCGUCUUUUUCUGUUUUCAUUCUUAAACAUAUUUGUGUGCGGGGAAAUUAUAGCUAUCUGUCAUCAAGAUGGGCGUCUUUUUCUGUUUUCAUUCUUAAACAAAUUGGUGUGCGGGGAAAUUAUAGCUAUCUGUCAUCAAGAUUGAGAUGGAGCCCUCUCUCAUAGGUAAGGGUAAUUUCUUUUUUUUUUUUCUUCCCAUUCAUACAUAAUAAGGUCGCCGUCAUCAAGAUUGAGUAUCUGAAAGGUAUUUCUCACCUUUAAUAGUUAAUCGAUUUACAUGUAGUUGCCCUAAUUUUGUAAUUAUAAAAAACGCAUUGAGUACGUUUUAAUUUUUUAAUUUUAUAGUUUACGCAUGGUCAAUGGCUAAUAAAGUUUAAUACGAGAUUGUGUUGUGGAGAUGCGGAAUCUUCUCUAUCCCUAUUAUUUAAACCUGAAAUUUGGUUGUUCAGUCUAACGUUUUACCUUUUUUCCAAUUAUUUUACUUUUUGGUUAAAUAUUAUCAUGAUCUUCCAUGUGUUCUCGUUCCAUGGCAUUGGUGGCUUCUGCUACAAUUAGUUUGGGGAAUCUGCUCUGCUGUGGGUAUGAACUGUUGGGUAGUCAACAAUGCUAAUGACGUUUAAGCGUAAUUUUAAUGCUUUUUUAUUUGUUUGUUUUUGUUAUUGGAGAUAAGAUUAGUACCUUUGUUGUAUCAUUUUUUAUUUGUUAGUUAUUCUUCUUUAUAGUUUCUCUGAAGCUCAUGUUGGCUUGUCUUCUCAUUGGCAACACUUCAGCAACUAGAAGGGUUUUACUAGUGUGUCUGUUUGUGGGGAGCUGUGGGCAAUCAUCUUUUCUUCUGUCAUGUUUAGUUGGAAAUUUCUAAUUUGGAAAUAUGAGAAGGAAUUUGAAUGUUAGCAUUGGCUAGGAGGUGUUCCAAAAGCAGUAAGCUAUCUCUUCUAUUCUGAUGUGUUAUUGGUGUUGAGAAUUAUGUGCAUUUCUUCAAGCUUGUGAAAAAUGUGGCACUUCGACAUCUUAAGGAGUAGUCUUUUUGUAGUAUUUGGCAAUCUAUUUAAACUUUUCUAUCAUUUAAUAAUUUCGAUGAGCUAAUGUUGCCAGGACUUCUUUUUAAUUGUUGAUAUAUGUGUAAACAGUUUUGGUGCGGUUGAUUUUCGUCUAUAAUUAUUUCAAAGAUUGGUUCUGCCAAAUGUUCAUAGUUGAACUGUGAAGGGAUGAAAUAUAUCAAGUCUUGGAAGCAUUCUACUUUCUUGAUUGGAUGGUAUCUCCAUUCAGGAAAUGUGAGGGGGUUUUUUGAAUGUUGGCUAGCAUUAGUCAGGAGUUGGUCCAAAAGUAGUAAGCUUCCUGCCUCUGUUUAUUGUGUUCUUCUGCCUUUUCAUCUACUUUCAUAGUGCUGAGCAUGAAUUAUGUAGAAAUCAAGUAUACCUUCAAGUAUGUAAGCAAAAUAGCAAUAGCACAUGUCAGGGAAUGGUUUGAUUGCAUUAUUGACUCUCUGUUUUUAUUUCUCAUAUUUCUUCUACUGCUGAUUACUUGGGAGGUGCCCAGCUGACUUAGUUGUAAGCAUAAACAAAAGAAGCUAUGGUAUAACAUUUUAAUUUAAUCUUCUUUUGUACUCCUUAGGUAAACCAAUUUUACAGGUGGACUUCUGUAUUCAUUAAUAUCUUUUUUUUUUUUUUUUUCAUUUCACAAAUAUUGAAAUGUAAUAUUGCUUUGCCAUGUCUCCUUUUGGUUCAGCUCAGUGUUUUUGAUAAGAUGAGAUCUCCUGUACAAGUUAUAUGACGCUGUAAAUCAUAUCCUGGAAUGGAAGUCAAAUAUGAGACAAGUGGUAUUUUUUGCUACUAAGAUUGGUUGUGCUGUUUCUACGAAAUUCUUGAUGUAUCGGAAUAUUUGCAGUGUUUAGAGGUAAAUUUGAUCAGUGUGAAAUAUGAUCAAGAUGUGAUUAUACAUUUAAUCAUGAUUUUUUGUUAUACACCAUCUCUUUUUCAGUGAACAAAUAGUUGGCUAGUCUGUCCUGCAUUGCAGUAUAGUGAUUGUUGUAAGACCAUUCAACUGGGGUUAUAGGAAGGUUGUAAUAGUUUUUUGGGUAUCCGUAUAUCUACUUUUGCAGCUUUUAUCUAGCAAUGUGAAUUAUUUGAUUUUUUUUUCACUUCUCAGGGACUCUUUUCCUAGAAUGAUUAUGAUGUGACAGUUUUCGAGUCGUGCUUACAAAACUUUUAUGCCUGCGACUUCUGCAAAAAAUAUAAUUGGAUCUUUUAGUCAUGCUGUUGUUGUUUGUGGAUUGGUUGCGUAGAAAUCCUCUGGCAUCUCUGGUCAUGGGCAACAUCAUUUUUGUUCCUUGGUUUCAGUUUUCCCAUGUUGCUGGACAGAGAGUAUUUUUUUCCCUCCUCUACUCUGCUUUUAUAGUUUAUUUUAGAGUUUGUUUGAUUUCACUGUCUUUGUUUUAGGAUUUGAUAAACAGUUGGGCAAUUAAAGAUGAGUCCAUUGUUUAUGUUGUUUCUCCAUCACUUGGGUUUCAUUGUAUCAGCUUUGAUUCGAAUGCUAUUGUGAUUAACAAUAUUCAUUGGUGAAACGUUACUGUGAUGAACUCCCUUUUGGGAUUUUUUCAAAGAUUGGUUGAAUGAAUUGUUAUAGGAUAGUUGAACUAUAAAGGGAGGAAGUAUUUCAAAGUUCUAGAAGCCUUCUAUUUUUUUGAUUGGUGGUAUUUCCGUUCAGGGAUAUGUGAGAAUGUCUUGGAAAUUCAGCUAGUAUAAGCCAGUAGUUGCUCAAAUGUUAGUAAGCUUCCUCUCUCUGUUUAUUCUAUCCAUCUUAUCUGACCUUUGCAAUGUCUGCUUGUAGUUUGGUAAUUAGAACCAUUUGCAAAUAAGACAGAAUACCUCUUUUGCCUUUGCCAGGGAAGACCCUUACUCAGAGAAUACCUAUUGAUUAACAGGGCAGAUCUGGCUCCCAAUCGGCGUCUUCUAUUGUUUAAUCUUCAUCUUCUCCUGCUGUCAAAGGAUCUGGCCGAGUUAGUAGAUGAUUAAACUCCUGUUGCUUCAUUGGCUUAUGCUGGAGUAGAUAAAACUUCUGCUGCAGAACCGGUUUAUGUUUCAGGAUUUGGAUAAGGUUCACGUGGGGGAGAUAUUUGAUGGAGUCUUUACUGGCCAGGGAAAAAGUCAUGGGAUCUGAACAUGUGAAGAGCAGAAUAGACUUCUGCAGAUAUUAUGAUUUCUUAGAGCAUUUAGUGAUGCUGUUGCUGUUUGCAACUGAGAGUGUCUUUUUUCCCACUUCUACUCUGCUUUAAUAAUGUAUUUUAGACUUUGUUUAAUUUGAGUCUCCUCAUUUUCAGGAUCUGAAGCAUACUUGGGCAAUUAAAGAUGAGUCCCUAGUUUAUGGCAUGUGGUGUAAGGUUUUCCCUAUUCAUUGAACUACUUCAGAGAUAUUCUAGGAAUUAUGGUAGUAUUGUCUAUUGUCACAUAUAUGUGUUCUUUCUUCUUCUUUGAUAGAAAAAUAGGAGGGUGAUUGUAGUGCCAAUGUUUAUGUCUCUUGCAAGAAGGAAAAGCAAAAACAAGAGAAACAAGCGGAACGUGAGAAGCAGAUACAAGCAGGAAAAAUUGGAGAUUAUAGAUGGCAGUACAAGGGAUGGCACAGAUAGCAUUCAUUUAGGGUCAGGACCACAUGUCAUUAGGAGGGAACUUCUAAUCCUAAAAAUUUACUAAUUCCUCCUACAUCAUUCAUUAUUGAAAUGUUAUUUUCCAUAACAUAUUUGUUAUUCAUUUCAUUAAUAUUGAAAUGUAACAUUGCUUUGCAAUGUCUCCUUGUAGUUUGGGUGGUCUUUCUUGGGAUUAUUUUUAUAUAUGGUUGUGUUUUGGGCUGGUGACAUAUAGGACUAUGUGCAGCUUGCAGAAGUAACUUUGACUGAUACUCUAAGUAGGGAAUUUAGUGAUGUUGUUGCUGUUUGCAGAGAGAAAUUCUCCUUCACCCCUUGUUUUUAGCAAUAUCAUUUGUCCAUUUGAAUUUUUCCAUGUUGCUGGAUCUGAUGCAUGCAUACUUGGGCAAUUAAGCAAAAUGGCAGUAGCUCAUGUCAGGGAGUAAUUUUAUUGAACUAUUGACUCUUUCCUUUUUCUUUUAUUUAUUUAUUUAUUUUUAACUCAAACCUUUUUUCUGUUUGUGAUCCAAGGUUAUAGUUUGUGGUUUUGCCUUUUUGUUGAUGUCUCAUGUGAUCAGCCACUGGGUGUGAUAUGUUCUUGUGUUCAUUUCACCCAUUUUCAUUGAGCUUGCUUUUUUGAUUUUCUGUUGCUUUUUACUUGGGUGGUACCGAGCUUUGUUAUAGGCAUAAAUAAAAGUAGGAAGGUAUUAUGUUUUCAUUUCAUAAACAUCUUUAUUUUCCAUUUAACUAAUGUAACAUUGCUUCGCAAUGUCUCCUUGUAGCUUGGAUCAGUGGUUUCGAUGAGGUGAGAUCUGAAUAUGUGUGCCAAAUCCUUGAAUGGAAUAAAUAGUUUGCUUGUGCAACCUGUAAUACAGUUUCGUGAUUAGUGUAAGGCUUUACAAGGGAGGUCUGAGGUUAUUUGAAGGUUGUAUAAUGUUUUGCUUCUCUUUUUGUUUUACUUUUAAAAUACUUUUAGCUGGGUGUGUGAAUUAUUUGGAAUUUUUUCCCAACUUCUCAGGGAAAUUAUGUCUUCAGAAGUUUCUGGUGUGAUGUUAUUGUUCGACUGAUCCCUUGGUAUUUACUUAUUUUAAAGCCAGUUAUGUGUAUCCUUAGCCUUGGUGUUUGGUAGACUUCACCCCUUUGUUUUGGUUGACUUAUCAUCUUACUUUGAAAUGGAGUCUCUUUCACCUCUUUUUAUGAGCAAUAUCAUAUUUUUUUUUUCACUUCUCAGGGACUCUUCCUAGAAUUAUUUUGAGGUGCUGUUGUUCCUUGUUGAUUUCUUUGUAUUUUCAUGUUUCAAUUCAGUGAUGAUGUAUUGUAGUUUAGGCUUGAGAAUUUCUGUAUUCACUAUUUAGUACAAGUUUCAGGUGGGGAAGUAUUUAAUGGAUUCCUUGCAGGUCAUCGGAUACCAAGCCAAAUCAUUUAUUGAAUGCCUUCUGUGGAUGAUGGCCGAACAGAUUUGGUAUCUGAUAUGGUUUUGACAUUGUAUUUUUUAUUUUUUUAAUCUGUUUUCGAGUUGUGCUUACAAAUCUUUUAUGCCUGGGACUUUGACAGAUUAUAUAUAAUCGGCUCUUUUAGUCAUGCUGUUGUUGUUUGUGGAUUGGUUGCAUAGAAAUCCUCCUGCAUCCCGGGGUCAUGAGCAACAUCAUUUUUGUUCAUUGAUUUCAGUUUUUGCAUGUUGCCGGACUGAGAGUAUAUUUUCCCUCUUCUACUCUGCUUUUAUAGUUUAUUUUAGACUUUGUUUGAUUUCUGUGUCUUUGUUUGACGAUCAGUUGGGCAAUUAAAGAUGAGUCAGUUGUGUUUAACUCCCUUUUGGGAUUUCAUUCAAUGAUUGACUGAAUGAAUUGUUACAGGAUGGUUGAACUAUGAAGGGGGAAGUAUUUCAAAGUUCUGGAAGCCUUCUAUUUAAUUUAUCGGCAGUAUUUCCGUUCAGGAAAUGUGAGAAUGUGUUUGGAAUUUCUGCUAGCAUAAGUCAGUAGUUGCUUGAAGAGUAGUAGGUUUCCUCUCUCUGUUUGUUGUAUCUAUCUGACCUUUGCAAUGUCUCUUCGUAGUUUGUUCCAUGGAGUUGGUUGCUUCUGCUAGAAUGAGUUUGGGGAAUCUGCUCCGCUGUGGGUAUGAACCGUUGGGUAGUCAACACUGCUAAUGACAUUUAAGCGUAAUUUUAAUGUAUUUUAUUUAUUUGUUUGUUUUUGUUAUUGAAGAUUAGUACGUUUGUUGUAUCAUUUUUUAUUUAUUAGUUGUUCUCUUUAGUUUGUCAUGUUGGCUUGUCUUCUCAAUGGCAACACUCUUAAGGAACUAGAAGGUAUUACUAGUGCUCUCAGAACUGAUGAUAAAUAUGGGUUGGAAAUUAUUAAAAUCUGUUUUAAUCAUUAGAUAAAAUUACCUUAGAUCGAAUCAAAUGAAUGGUAUCUAACCACGAUUUAAUUAUCGGAUCAAAUUGAUGGAUUGUUAUCCUAAUGUUAUUAUGUUAUUAAAAUCCAUUUAAAAUUUUAAUUAAUUAAUGUGGUAUCGACAAUUUGUACAACUGGUUUGAUAGGGUCGAAACCCAACUGGUUUGACCAAUUCUAAGGCCAAAGAACCUUAUUCACUAUAUUCAAAUCUUGCAACCUUUUAUCUGUAAAUUUUUAAUAAAAUACGUAACUUACGGUUUUUGUUCAUUUUGACAAAAAUAUCUUGACAGGAUUUUAAAAUUAAAUAAUAAAAUAGAAAGAGAUGUUUUGUUGGUUGUUAAAAUCUUUAUUUAACAAAAUAACAAAGUAAUAAUUUUUUUUUUUUAUGUGUUUUUCAAAUUUUAUGUUAGCAAGCGCUGGAAAAACCUGUUAGGUUUUUUAACGGCUGGAAGCCAAACGGAUCUUUCAUCAACCGAGGCUCCCAUAAAUAUGACAUCUUCGCGGCUUUUUUGUUAUUCAGAGAAAAGUGGAGGAGCCUGGGGGUUCUCGCUCUUAGGUAGAUUCUUGUUUUUUUUCCUAUUUUCAUUGUUAAGCAAAUUCGUGCGCGGGAAAUUAUAGCCAUGUAUCAAGAUUUUCUCAUAGGUAAGGUUAAUUUCUUGGAUUUUUUCUAUUUUCAUACGUAAGCAAAUUAUUAAACAUUUUUCAUCAUUUAAUGAUUUGGAUGAGCUAAUAUUGCCAGGACAUCUUUUUAAUUGUUGAUAUUGGUGUAAGCUCUGUUGCUGCGGUUUAUUUUCGGAUAUAAUUAUUUCAAAGAUUGGUUCCAUCUUUUAAUAAUAGUUGAACUGUGAAGGAAGGAAGUAUUUCAAGUCUUGGACAUAUUAUUUUUUCUUGACUAGAUGGUAUUUCCAAUCAGGAAAUGUGGGGGGUGUUUGAAUGUUGGCUAGCAGUAAUUAGGAGUUGCUCCAAAAGUAGUAAGCUUCUUGCCUCUGUUUGUUGUGUUCUUCUGCCCUUUAAUCUAGUUACAUAGUGCUGAACAUGAAUUAUGUAGAAAUCAAGAUACCUUCAAGUACAUAAGCAAAAUGGCAGUAGCACAUGUCAGGGAAUGUUUUGAUUGCACUUUUCAGUCUCUGUUUUUUAAUCUUUGCUCAUUUUUUCUACUGUUGUCUUGUUGUGAUCAAGGUAUAAUUUGUAAUUGUUGUCCAUCUUUGUGAUUUCUCAUGUUGUCAGCCUCGGUGUGAUAUGCUCUUGAAUAUAUUCACCCUUUAUGGAUUGAGCUAACUCGUCCAAACUUCUACUGCUAAUUACUUGGAGGUGUUGAGCUGACUUGGUUAUAAGCAUAAACAAAGAAGCUACGUGUUGGCAAUGUAUAGGAAUAUGUGCAGUGUUCAGAGGUAAAUUUGAUCAGCGUGAAUUAUGAUCAAGAUGUGAUUAUACAUUUAAUCAUGAUUUUUUGUAAUACUCCAUCUCUUUUUUAUAGAACAAAUAGUUGGCUAGUCUGUCCUGCAAUGCAGUAUAGUGAUUGUUAUAAGGCCAUGCAACUGUGGUUAUAGCAAGGUUGUAAUAGUGUUUUGAGUAUCUGUCUAUCUUACUUUUGCAGCUUUUAUCUAGCAAUGUGAAUAAUUAGAUUUUUUUUUUCCAACUUCUCAGGGAAUCUUUUCCUAGAUUGAUUUUGGGGUGUUGUAGUUCCUUGUUGAUUUCUUUGUAUUUUGCUUAUUUCAAGUCAGUGAUGAUGUAUUGUAAUUCAGCCUUUAGAAGUUCUGUAUUCAGGAUUUGGCUCAAGUUUCAGGCGGGGAAGUAUUUGAUGGAUUACUUGAAGGUCAUUGGAUACCAAGCCGAAUUAUUUAUUGAAUUCCUGCUGCGGAUGAUGGCUGCACAGAUUUGAUAUCUGAUAUGGUUUUGACAUUGUGGCUUUAUUUUUUCUUUAUCCCUUAUCAAGUUGUGCUUAUAAAAGUUCUAUUACAGAUAUUAUAAUUGGAGCAUUUAGUGAUGUUGUUGUUGUUUUUGGAUUGGUUGCAUUGAGAUCCUCCUGCAUCCCUAGUUAUGUAUAACAUCUUUUUGGUUCAUUGGUUUCAGUUUUCCCAUGUUGCUGGACUGAGAGUAUUUUUCUCUCUUCUACUCUGGUGGUAUAGUUUUGUUUGAUUUUUGUGUCUUUGUUUUCACGAUUUAAUGAACACUGGGGCAGUAAAAAUGAGUCAAUAGUUUAUGCUGUUUCUCCAACACUUGGUUGUCAUUAUAUCAGCUUUGAUUCUAAUGCUAUUGUGAUCAACAAUAUUCAUUAGUAAAAUGUUACUGUGAUGAACUCCCUUUUGGGUUCUUUUUUUUUUUCCAAAGAUUGGUUGAACGAAUUGUUAUAGGAUAGUUGAACUCUAAAGGGAGGAAGUAUUUCAUAGUUCUGGAAGCUUCUAUUUUAUUGAUUGGUGGUAUUUCCGUUCAGGGAAAUGUAAGAAUGUGUUGGAAUUUCAGCUAGCAUAAGUCAACUGUUUCUGUUUAUUGUGUCCAUCUGACCUUUCAUCUAUUUACGUAGUGCUGAGCAUGAAUUAUGUAGAAUUUGAGGACCUUUAACAGAAGCAAAUUGGCAGUAGCACAUAUCCAAGAGGAGCAGGAUAGACUUCUGCAGAUAUUAUAAUUUCUUAGAGCAUUUAGUGAUGUUGCCACUGUUUGCAACUGAGAGUAUCUUUUUUCCUACUUUUUUUAUAAUGUAUUUUAGACUGUUUAAUUUUAGUGUCUUCAUUUUCAGGAUUUGAAGCAUACUUGGGCAAUUAAAGAUGAGUUUCUAGUUUAUGGGAUAUGGUGUAAAUUUUCCCUAUCCAUUGAGCUACUUCAUAGAUAUUCUAGGAGGUCUGUUAUUAUUGUCUAUUGUCACAUAUUCGUGUUCUUUCUUCUUCUUUGAUAUAAAAAUAGGAGGAUAAUGGUAGGAUCAAUGUUUAUAUUUCCCACAAGGAAAAGCAAAAACAAGUGAAACAAGUGGAAAGGGAGAACCAGUUACAAGCAGAAAAUUGGAGAUUACAAAUGGCAUCAAAAGGGUUGGCACAAAUGGCAUUCAUUCAAGGGAAGGACCAUAAGUCAUUGAGAAGGGAACUUCUAAUCCUAAAAACUUUACUAAUUUCUCCUACAUCAUUCAUUAUGUGUAACAUCUUUGUUAUUCAUUUCAUUAAUAUCAAAAUAUAACAUUGCUUUUUGAUUCAGGCCUGAUUUUCUUCUCCACACUACAGCACCCCUUCUACUCUCUCUCAUCCCAGAAAGCUCCACUUCACAGUUUCCUUUCCAACACAAUCAAACACACAAGCAAUAUUCCAACACAGCUAAUAAUCAACUCAUUGCAAGAACACAGAAUGAUAAUGAAUCAAAAUAGCUUUCAUUGAUUGCAUUUCCAUUACAAGAUCCAAACCAAACUGAAAUACAAUAAAACAGUAACCCAACAACCGCCACGCUUUCAAGAGGCCGGCUUUCUCCCCCUAUGUCCCUAUUUGGGUUUCUGAUUUCUCGAUUCUCCUUGAUCCAAUUCCAGCUUUGUUUCCCUUGCAAAACAGUCUCUCCGGCUCUCCUCUUGCCAUGAUCCAGCUUCCUCAUUUGGUGGUCUGGCUUCCUCUCGUUUGCUUUUGUUGCAGUAUGUCAGUCCCAUGCUCCUUCCACUUGUCUACUCUUGCUUCUUCUGUUUUGAUUUUUGGGAAGUAUAAACAUUGGUCCUAACACUUUGCAAUGUCUCCUUGUAGUUUGUGUCAAUAGUUUUGGAGAGAUGAGAUCUCCUUCACGAGUUAUGGUUUUUCUUGGGAUUACUUUUAUAUGGUUGCUGGGCUGGAGACAUAUAGGAAUAUGUGCAGUGGGCAGAGUAAACUAUGACUGGUGUAAAUCCUGAUCAAUAUUUAGAUUAUAUAUGUAUGUAAUAAUGAUUUUUCGGUUGCCAAGAUCUCUUUUUGGGCAAACCAGAGUUUGCUAGUCUUUCCUGCAAUAUUGUAAGGCAGUUCUAUUGAGGUUAUUUGAAGUUUGUAAUAGUUUUUCUGUUGGCUGUUUUACUUUUGCAGCUUUUAUCUAGCCUUGUGAAUCAUUUCAAUUUCUUCUUCAACUUAUCAAGGAAUUUAUGCCUGGAACAUUUCCAGGGGAUGUGAUACAAGUUUCAGGUGAGGAGGAGGUAUUUGAUGGAAUCCUUGUUGGUGAUGGGAUACCAAGGUAAAUUAUUUAUCGAACACUUGAAGAGGAGGGUCUAGCUGAAACCUUUUUUGGUCAUUUAUUCUUUUGGUGUUAACCAUUCCACUGAUUUGAUAGCUGAUAUGGUCUUGACAUUCUACUUUUUAUUUUCCAUUGAGCUUGCUCUUCUAAACUUCUGUUGCUGUUUUCUUUGGGGGUACUGAGCUUUGUUAUAGGCCUACAUAGAAGCAGCAAGGUAUUAUGUUUUCAUUUCAUAAACAUCUUUGUUUAACAGUUGGUCUGUGGCUAAUAAAGUUUAAUACGUGGUUGUAUUGUGGAGUUUCAGAUAUCUUCUCUUUCUCUCUCUCUCUUUUUUUUUUCAAUUAUGGUUGUUUAUUCUAAUGUAUUGUCCUUUCCCAGUUUGUUUACCUUUUGGUUAAAUGUUAUCAUGAUCUUCCUUGCGUUCUCACUUGUUCCAUGGCAUUGGUGGCUUCUGCUAGAAUAAGUUUGGGGAAUCUGCUCCACUGUGGGUUUGAAGUGUUGGGUAGUCAACAAUGCUCAUGACUUUUAAGCUUUAUUUUAAUGUAUUUUAUUUGUUUGUUUGUUUUUGUUGUUGGAGAUAAGAUUAGUACGUUUUUUGUAUCACUUGAAGCUCAUGUUGGCUUGUAGACCUCUUUUCUCCUACUUUUUUCUGUUUGUGAUCUAAGGUUAUAAUUUUAAUUUUUCCAUCUUUGUGAUGUCUCAUAAUAUCAGGCUGUUCCCUGAAUUCAUUUCACAUAUUUUCGUUGAGCUUGCUUUUCUGAAUUCUGCGGUUCUGGUGCUGUUUACUUGUGCCCAGCCAACUAUAAGCCUAAAUAAAAUAAGCUAAGGUAUAAUAUUUUCAUUUAAUCUUCUUUUAUUCUCCUUGGAGAAGCUAAGCUAAGCUUUUACUAGGUGGGCUGUAGUUGUAUUUUUUAUUUCCAACAGUGUGAGAUGGUAUUCUUUUUGGAGAGUUUUGUUCUUUCAUUGUCUAUAUGCUUUUCAAGAUUUUAUUGUAGCAGAGUUUGAGGAUUUCUGUAUUCAGGAUUUGGUCAAGUUUCAGGUGUGGGAGGUAUUUGGUGGAAUCCUUACAUUCAGGGAUACAAGUCAUGCAUACUUGGCAAUUAAAGGAUGUCCAUAGAUUUCAAGGGUCCCUUCAAAUUCUUAAGCAAAGUGGCUAUAGCUCAUGUCCGGGGACUUUGAUCAAGAUUGUUUUCAUUCUUUCUUCUACCUCUACCAUCAAUAAUGAAGAUUGAUGACCAAGAAAUGUCGAUGCAGAACGUGAAAUUGACGAAGUGAAGAAGCCAACGUGUGUUUUGUAGAGACAAAAAUGAUUUGUCUUUACCUGUUUAUAAAGAUAAAGAGACGAAAACGGGUAAUGUCACUUGAAGAUUAUUGUAAAAAGGUUAGGAGGAAGAACACCUAUGGUUGGGAAGUCGUUUGCUGAAGAGGGGGAGAUCAAAACUUUAAAAGAGAAUUUAUUACUUUUCAAACUUAUGACAGGAUAGGGUGGAAUUGUUAUAUUU